GGGGGGGGGAAGCCUGGCUGACAUCACCAAGCAGAGCGAUGGGGAAAAUGGUGAUUUUUUGAGUACUUUUAAGUCACUUUGGUUGGAAAGCAUGACUUUGGGUGAAUUACUGACUUGCCCUAAAAAUAGAUUUAUCCAAACAUUUAAAAAAUGGGGAUGACUUUUUAAUUGUUAGUGGGCAUUUGAUAUUUCAGCUACGUUGGUCAUGGAGCAUGUAUGGUAAUUCUAUAAGACUGCCUAGUGAGUCAGGAACUGGAAUUUCAGAGAAGUCUCUUGAGUGUAUGAGUGACUUGAGAAUGGGACUUCGAUUACAUAACCAGUUUCCUGGAAAACUCUCACUUGAAGCUUUGUGAUGAGACUCUACUUACAACUCCACAAAGCUGUAGGAUAAUUCCUGUAAUGAUGAUGAUGCUGCAGCCCCACUUCCAUCUGCGAGUGCAAGAUGUUUGCUGGUCCAUUCCUUCUGUCCUGGCCCCAACCCCCAGUGAUCCAGUGAUACUUCAGUCUGCCAGUAUUAGCUCUAGGUAGCAACUACAGUUAGAGGCAGUGACAUGCCACAGUUGGCUGAGUCCAUGCUUGCUGGUUGCUGUCUCCCUGCCCUAGUCAGUGGAGAGAGAGAAGCAUAGGAAAAGAUCUUUGAGGGAGCUGUCCCACUGACUGCAUGGGGAUGGGGACUGGGCCUGGCCUUUGGAGAGCCAAGACCUCGUCUGACCUCUGCUGCUCCCUUGGCUUGUAGUGGUGCAGCCUGGGCAAUAGAGGCCCUCACUGACAAAUAAGGGCUCUUGACUUAGAAUACCUUCUAAAACUUGUAGAAAAAGCUGAGUAUCACCAGCAUUCGUAAAGGUAGCAGGAUUAAAAAGAAAGUAAAAUUGAAAAUACAUGGCUAAACUUUUAGAUAAAUCAAUGUAAAAAGCUAGCAGCUUUCCUUUGAUUUCUGGUUGUCUUACAUUCAUUUUCCUUAGCAAUUCUCCUCUUUAAAAAACAAACAAACCAACCAACCAAACAAAAAGAUCUACUUCCCCUUUUCUGGUCAGUGAAGGACAAGAACCCUUACUUUUAACGUAAGAGAGAGAGCCCGUCUCCCUUAUCACAGUGUUCCACUUUACCUGAUGGCACAGUAUUACCAGAAGGCUGCAUUUUAUGGCUUUAUCACAACCUUGCCAUUUCUUUUGAAUGCAUCUGAGUCAGGUGCUUCUGUACGGGAAAGGGGAAGAGUUGCGUAAGCAACAAUAUUAUUAUCAAUAAUAUGCAAAAGCAGAGGCUGUAAUGAUUGCUGAUGAAGCACUAAUUCAUUAAUAAAGCUGCUUUGUGCUUUCCCCCUGUGGCCUUAAAGUUUUUGUUCUCUUUGGGCAUAAUUGUGUUUUCAAGUUACUAGUGAUAAUGCAGAAAUGUUGGCAACUCAGUGAGCAACAGUUGUAGCUUUAUGCUGGAGGAGGAGAAGAAGGACACUGUCUGGGUUUGAUGGGCUAGAAUACAUUAGGAUUGUGUGUUUAUCACUUCAGUCACAGUGUGAUGGCUAAUAAUGUUGACAUUUAAGGUGUGCCCACACAUUGGGCUAUUGAGCUUGUGUUCCUAAGCUCAUUUCCAGUAUGUCUGCUAACAUGUGGAAUAUGCAACUGCAUUUUGUGUGUCAAGCUGUAUUCAAGAUAUCCAUACUGUAUUUUAGUCAAGUACUGUAUCUCAGCUGCAUAAUUAAAAAAUAUAUAUAUCAGUGCCAUAAAGAUCAGAGGUGGAGGAGUCGUACAUGACAACAAUGUGAAAUAAUAAUAACAAUAAAUAAAUGAGAGAGGAAAAUAUAACUCUCAGAUUAUUAUUGGAAAUCACUAAUAAAUGGCCAGUCAUCAAGGGAAAGCUUAGUUUACUUAGAGAUUAAGCUGCAAAAGUGAUGAAGCAAAGAUUUUAGGGCAUCUGGAGAUGACACCUUCCCCAUUUGUAUGGGCUAAAUGUCAGAAGAACACUACCUUCAAGGAGAGCUCUCUUAAUGAAUUUUUCUUACAACACUGUCUUAGUCUGUAUGUAGCUGUUAGGUUAGCAUAACCAAGUAUUAGUAACGUCUAUGUAAGAUAAGCAAAAUAACUGUUCUCUCUGUGAUCAAGUUAGUUUUCUAGACUUUGUCCAUGGAAGAUUCUGACUUAAGUUUCAUUUUUUAACCUUACUUCAGCAGCAGUGUCUUUCUGUUGUAUUUCUUUUAUCUUGAUUCAGCCAAGAUGGACUUACGCUAUCUAUGAUUAUUGUUCAGGCUUUGCAGAUCUGCUCUGUGUAUGAUUUCUCUCUUUCUAAUCUUAUACUUACUAACUACAGUUUGCAAAUAAAUAAGGUUAGAUGCUAGGUCUCCACUGUUACUGCCAUGCAAGUUCUCCAGCUGUCCCUGGGAAGAAAAUUUAAUAAGUUACAGUUGGUUUCAGCUUUGAGUGACAUUGGCAGGAACAGGAGUAGGAGCACUGUAUGGUAACUGCUGAGUCACGGCCUGAACCACUGAUUGAGCACCUGGGAAGAAGACCCGGUCAGCCCUGGGAGCACAGGUGAAGGCAAUUCAUCUGUGUGACCAGAUGGGGUGGAGUCUGGCUGCACCUCUUCUAGACCUCAUUUAAGGGCUGAUCCUCCCUGAGGAGGGAGCUCUUUCUGGAGAUCCCUCCUUAGUGAAGUUUUCCCCUGCAAACCUAGAAUCUUCUGAUACAGGUGACAAAUCGGCAGAAUUCUUUGCAGAGCUAUUAUGGAUGCUGCUGGAAUUUCCUUCAAACAUUUUAGAAGGAUACUUUGAAGAUCUUGUUUUAAACAGGAGAAAAAACACCUGGUUAAAACAUUGGACCUUUGGGUAAAAAAGAACAUGGGUGUCAUUAUUCCUCUUUCACAGAUGAAGGAACUGCAUGCCCAAGAUCAUGCAGCACAGAGAUUUGGAGGGAAUGGCAGAACCAGGAGCAGAAUGCUGCUGUUUUACUCCCAAGCAACAUCCAGCCCACUGGAAAGUAAGCCUAUUAGCAGACCUGCUGUCACUGGUUUCAUAUAAAAAUAUGAAAAAUUCCAACCCCAAAGAUCUGCUGAAAUCAAACUUUUUUUUUUAAAACAAAAACUUCAGUGUUAGAACAGUAUGAGAAAGACAGUUCAGGGCUUGCUGCUACUACAUUAAUAUGUACUAGAGCACAGCUUGAUUGCUUUUUUAAAUUAUUUUUUAAUUGAACAUGCUGGAGAAAGACUAAAGUCAGUAGCAAAUUUACAAUCUGUUCUUCCAAAAUAUUUAGUGUAUCAAAAAUAUGAGAGAAAAAGAGGAGAGGGUGAUAGCUGUACAUGGGCUCCUUAUCUCUGUUGAGAUUUCUGUAAUAAUUUUACAUGCUGUUUGAUCAUAAGCACAAAUUGAAAGUGAAGCUGCAGUUAAGUUUUGGCCAUGGUUAUGGUCCUGGCACUCAGUGUUUUUAGUGAUUAUUUUUUCACCUGCUUGGACUUCUGAGGCUUUAGAGUCCUUAUGCUCUGCGUCAACAGAUUGCAGAUGAGGAAUUGGCUGUAGUCUUUUCCAGCAAAAUCUGUAAUGAUUAUUUCUUUUAUAUGGUUUUUAUUUUGGUAGAAUGCUUAUCUAUUCAAAAGUUAAGGUUCCCAUAGCAAUGUUAACAUGGCCGCAUUGCACAUAUGCAGCAUUUUCAAUAACUGUUAAUUUAUGCUCUGCUAUAUAUUUUAAAUGUGGCUGAAUUACUGUUGCUGUGGGAAACUAAACUUUUAAGCCUUGUGGCUUCUUUGCCUGCUUUAAUGCCCAAUUAUAAAAUUUUGCAGUACAGAAAUGCUGCUAAUACUGAACUCCCUCCUUAGUUUCCUAAGGGUAGUUUAUAUUGGAAAACACUGGGCAAAGUCAAAAGAGAUUCUGAAUGUAUGCAUAUUCCAGUAACGGGUUUAUUCCAGAAACGGUUUGUAUCUCCACCUAAGCCAGUUAUCUAGAACAAGCAGUGGAUGCACAGUGCAAGGCAUGUCCCCAAUUCCUUCAGAAGUCAAGUGCUGGUAUAGCAUACUGCUACCAACCUUUACCUCUGCAGGAUGAGUUGUUGGGUUUAUUUAGGCUUAGACUUCAGCAGCAAUUUUUGACUGUGUUUAUGUACAGGAGAAAGCAUUCAACAGCACCAGUGCUAGCUGCAUAUCCUGUGCUGAGUUUUGUCCGUUAGCAGUAAUAUUUGUAGUAUGCUUUGGAAAUCCCUUGAUGGACUUUGAUUUCCUUCAGUGACUUCUGUAUUUACAAGACCUAGUAGCUAUUAUUCUCAUAAAUUAAAGUGAAUUCUACUUCAAAUGGAGUGGUUGGCAUCUCUGGUUUUGCAAUGAGACCUUCUGUUCUAUGCCUUCUAGUCUCUUUAGGGUUUAAGGAUAUGCCUGCAUGAGAAAAAUUGACUGGCAGGACUGUUCUCUUCUAGCUAUUAGGGUAUAAUUUAGCUGUUCCAGAGUAACUCCCACAUGUGGAUGAAAUAUUCCAAAAUAAAAAUGAUUUUAUUCAGUAACAAUUAUUUCACUUUGGAAAUGGAGUAAUUAUCCUAGAAUAAAAUGAUCACUUCAUUUCCAGGGCAGAAUAAUAGUUACUGAAUCAAAGUUGCUUAUUUUGGACUAGCAUGUGAGCACUGCAGAGCAGUUACUCUACUCAACUCAUCCUCCUUGCUUUUCACAGGCAAAUGAAGUGUUGCUGGUCAUGGUGCGCAGCUGGUGGCCUUGCAGUUGUGCUGGGCAAUGUCUGUGCUGCAAGAGGGGUCUUCGAGUCACAUUGCCAAAGGUUUAAAAACCUUCUUAAUGUAACAAAUCUUAGAGCCCAACAGGUAGUCUUAAAGGUUGGUCUUAGUACAGAUGAUUCUGAUAAAGUUGAUUUAAAUAACGUAUUGCUUAGUACCUUGACACCAGGUUUUAUGAGGUUUUUGAUAGGAACUCUGUUGAUGGAACUUGUCAAGGGCCUUGCGAAACUGAGAACAAAGGCAUGCCUAUGUGAGGUAAGUUGGGCAAUAGAACAAACUACUAACAGAAAGGUAGAUUUGCUCUUUAUUAGGGUCUUAAGAUCAGCAUUUCGAGGUGCUGACACCCUCUCUUGCCAAACCAGAGUGUGCUCCUCAGGAGGAGAGCUGCGUGGGCUCUGCAGCCCCAUGGAGACUGCACAGGCUUAAGGGCGGAGGCCUCCUACUGGGCUCACCCAGAUGUGUGGCUGGGAAAAUGGGCAGGAAGUGCUGGGAUGCCGACACCUGAGGGAAACUUGACAUAUUUCCAGCAUUGGUGCAGUUCAGUGGUGACGACAUACAAUCACUGUCACCUAGGAAAUGAAACACGUUCCCAUGGCAACCUCGAGGCUGCAUUAUUACUCAGCUUCAAAAUGUUGACAGUUCGAAAAAGGCCUCUUCAGAUAACACCCCCCAAGGUGUUGUUUUUUUUUUUCCCCCUUAAUAAAUUUACUUUGUUAUUUAAUCUGAAAUUCAGAAGAAAGACAUAUGUUUAACUGAAGAUGCUUAGUGGAAAUAAACCUUUGGAAAAAAAAAAAAAGCUGAAUGUUUUACUAACUCAAAGCCUCUACUGCCUCUUAAAAUAGUUUCAGAUCCUGUGAAGGUAAUUUUAAUGAAGCGUAUGGCACUUCAGUUGGCUUAAAUCAUCAGACAGCUCCUGAAAUUAUUUUACUGGAUCCUUUUAUACAGUUUGAAUCACUCUGAAAGUCUCCAGCUGUAAACUGUAGCUUUGUUUUGUAACCAUGUAAAUAAGUGGAAAAUGAACCCUUCAUUUUGUGGUAACAUGAAUGCAGAUGCUUGCUAUAUGCUGCCUGCAGCAUUUAUUCAGUAUUUGCUUUCCUUGGUAUUUUUCGUUCAGUUGCCUUCUCAGGUCUUCUGCUCAAUCCUACCAGCAGCAUCUGUCCUCAUAGGUGUCUCAGCCAGUCAACCUAAUAGACGUAGACUUGCAAGGGAGGAAAUGCUGAAAUUUCUCCUUUGAGGGAACAUGCUUCAGGGAAUGCUACUUGCUGAGAAGCUCACAGACAGCAGUGAGAGCUCACAGAAACUGCUGUUUCUGUGGGGCUGUUUCAUACCAGUGUGGCUUUAGUGAGAUCGUGUGUAAGGGAGGGUUCUUACUUUGUUCAGAUGUUUUUCUUGCUACCUCAAGUCUUGUUAGUGUUGAUAGUGUUUCAGAAAUUCAUGUUUUCUGCACAUUUUCAUAAGGACUCCCUGCUGUUUUGAACUGGAGCCUUUAAUGAAAAUAUUAGGACCAACCUGUGAGGAAUAAAAUACCUAUUCUAUCAAUGGUAGUCCUUUUCAGCACUACUGGUUGCUAGCUUUUUUACUACCUUUUUAAUACCUCCAGCAAUCAUGUGCUUCCACUAAUGAAGUACUUCCUGUAUGGCAUUGUAUCAAAUACUUCUCAAGUAGAUGAGAAGUACCACUUCUCAUUUUGUUUUGCUGUUGUUGUUUUGCUGUUUUUUUUUUUUUUUUCCCUAGGAAAUUACUUUGAAAAUGUCUGUCAGGUUAGACUAAACAAUCUAUCCUUAGACUUACACUAUUUUCUGUUUCGGACUCUGUCUUCAUCUAUUUUUUAUUUUGAGGUCUGUUAUAAAGUUUUGCUUGCAAAUGAGAUUCUCGUGGCUUCUUGGUUCCUUUUUCCUUGCCACCCUUCUGAAAUAAUGAUCCAAUGUCUUCUACACUUCAGUUGGUAUUUUUCCCUGCUGAUUUAAUUAGGAGGAUGUAGAACUGAACCAGCAGUUUUUUAGCUUCUGGAUCUUCCAGAGUCAUAGCAUGGUUACCUGUCUCCUUAUCUGCCCACCCACUCACACAUCUGUAAGUACACUGAGCUUUUGGCUUGUUUCCAAAAUUUGUUUCCACAUCUUUAUUCUCUUUACUCAUCCUGCUAUAAUAAAAGUCUUCAUUAUCAUCCUUACUGCCAACUCAGACAAAGCACUCACUUAGAAUUGAGAUCAUACUUGUAUUAGUUUUUUACACUGUGCCAACUGCAAUAUGCUCCUUCUUUUUCUGCCUUUACCAACUUAUUUAUAUAGCAAAAUAUCCCUUUUCUUUCUUGUCUGUAAUAUAUAGGGAAGUAUAUCUUGGCUUGAUUUUUGAUCAUUUUCACUUAUCCUUGCCCUUCUUGAUCUCUGAUAUUAAGAAGAUUGCAUUCCUUCACUUUUUGUCCUCUUUUCCAUUACUUUUUAGCCUUUCCACUUAUUCUUAGCAUCUUCCUUCAUUCAUCUGCUGGAUCUGAUGCCCCUUAAUGUCAGUCUUCCUAAUUACUGAAAAUAUAAUUUCAGUAUUUAUACCCUAGGCACUUCUGAUCUGGAGGAAUUCCUGAUCUGCUUUAUAGUCAAUUGUCUGAUAUCCUCGAUCCAUCUGAUUUUACUUAUAGGGUUUAUCGAAGCUACGUGUUAUCCUUGUUGAAAUCUCUUGUAGACUUGCUUUCUUUAUAUUUCAGUUAAUUUAAACAGAGACCUCUUGUGAUCUUUCCAUGCAACGUCAUACUCUACAUCCAGAUUUUUUAUAAUGAUCAUACUGCUCACAAAAAUCAAAUAUAGAUUUGUUUUUGUUAUUGCAUUGAGUCACUGAAUAGGUCAGAGUAGCUGAUUUUAUCUGUCAUCUUUAGCUCCUUAAUUGUAUGAUUAAAAAAAAGUUUAGUAUUAUUACUCAUUUCUAACUCAGUUGGACAAAACCUAUCAUUUUGCAAUGAAAUUUUGUAUUUAUUUCUAUAAAGUGGUGAAAUUAAUUUUUUGAUGGAAAAUGGAAGUAAAUAAUGUUAUCUAUUGACUUCAUAUUUGGUGAAAUGUUAUGUGAACUUCAUUCAUUACAGUGAGUACAUGUACUAUCACUUCAUUCUGGAUCAAGUGAUAAUAAUAUGUGCAUGACAAAAAUGGAUGGUGAUUCCUGUACAUUGAGACACUGGUGUGGAUUGUUGCAGUGGUUCACUGUCUGCUGAAGCUUCUGCUAUCUUAAAUAAACAUGAGGAUUUUUCCCUUAAUAUUUUAUGUAUAUUUUUAUGAGGAAUCUUUAAUCCUGAAAUGCAAAGGUAUUUCAGCCUCUAUGUCUCUAUUAAUCUUAGUCCAGACUUCAGCUGUGUUUAUUUAUCCUAACACUCAGAGAUUAUUUCAAGUAGAUGUUUCUUUGGUUCUGAACUACCUUGUCAAACAGAGAGCAUCAACAGAUGAGGACAGCUUUAUCUGCUGUACGCUUAACAGAAUUGCACAGGAAGGUGGAGUCAAAAUAAAGCAAAAUAGCACAGGUGCCAGGUGUAUUUCCCUUUUGUCAGAUUAAUACCUUAAAUACACAGACACCGUAAAUGUAGGUAUCUGAGGUAAUGUUAAACACGGAUUCCUGGAAGGAUAUUUUUUCACAGUAUUCUUUAAAACCAGUGAAGAUUGAAAUAUUUGCAUAGAAGUCAGACACCUGAGGAGAGAUUCAGGGACCAAAGCACUGGCAUGCAUGUUUUAGAUCUUUUUUAUGGUAUCUGAGAUGUGGGCAACAAGAUGGCAGAUGUGAUGAGGGGUUUAUGGGAAACCCACCCUCUUCUAGGGCAGCAGCUGAAAACAAGGCUUAUACAGUGCUCCUACACACCUAGGUUUAAGUACUUGAGUUCCUCUCCAGUAGCUCUCUGGAUACAGGAUUUGCCUUCUGAUGUUUGUCACUGCUCCACUGGAUACUCAUCUGUUGAGUCCAUCUGCGAAAAUGGCUCUGUAUGCAAAAGCUGUGCUUACAAGUUUUUGUUUUUCUGUUGUUUCCUCUCAAGCAAUAAAUGUUUUGGGAAAAAAGAUA